AUUGAACGCUGGCGGCAGGCCUAACACAUGCAAGUCGAACGAGAGGCGGACGUGUGAGCAAUGUCUGGGACACUGCCUGAUGGAUGGGGAUAACUAAUGGAAACGGUAGCUAAUACCGCAUACCAUCAGAUGUGCCCAGGUGGGAUUAUCUAGUUGUUGGGGUAACGGCUCACCAGGGCGACGAUCCCUAGCUGGUCUGAGAGGAUGACCAGCCACACUGGAACUGAGACACGGUCCAGACUCCUACGGGAGGCAGCAGUGGGGAAUAUUGGACAAUGGGCGCAAGCCUGAUGCAGCCAUGCCGCGUGUAUGAAGAAGGCCUUCGGGUUGUAAAGUACUUUCAGCGGGGAGGCGUUACCCGCAGAAGAAGCACCGGCUAACUCCGUGCCAGCCGCCGCGGUAAUUC
rnacentral:rRNA from 1 species